rnacentral:rRNA from 1 species
GACGAACGCUGGCGGCGUGCUUAACACAUGCAAGUCGAACGGCAAGGCCCUGCUUUUGUGGGGUGCUCGAGUGGCGAACGGGUGAGUAACACGUGAGUAACCUGCCCUUGACUUUGGGAUAACUUCAGGAAACUGGGGCUAAUACCGGAUAGGAGCUCCUGCUGCAUGGUGGGGGUUGGAAAGUUUCGGCGGUUGGGGAUGGACUCGCGGCUUAUCAGCUUGUUGGUGGGGUAGUGGCUUACCAAGGCUUUGACGGGUAGCCGGCCUGAGAGGGUGACCGGCCACAUUGGGACUGAGAUACGGCCCAGACUCCUACGGGAGGCAGCAGUGGGGAAUAUUGCACAAUGGGCGGAAGCCGGAUGCAGCAACGCCGCGUGCGGGAUGACGGCCUUCGGGUUGUAAACCGCUUGCGCCUGUGACGAAGCGUGAGUGACGGUAAUGGGUAAAGAAGCACCGGCUAACUACGUG